rnacentral:rRNA from 1 species
CGUGAGAAUUUGCCUUUAGGAGGGGGAUAACAAUUGGAAACGAUUGCUAAUACCCCAUAUGCUUAAGAGUGAAAUGGAUUUAUCCGCCUAAAGAAAAGCUCGCGGCUGAUUAGCUAGUUGGUAAGGUAAUGGCUUACCAAGGCGACGAUCAGUAUCUGGUUUAAGAGGAUGAUCAGACACACUGGAACUGAGACACGGCCCAAACUCCUACGGGAGGCAGCAGUGGGGAAUCUUGCACAAUGGAGGAAACUCUGAUGCAGCGAUGCCGCGUGAGUGAAGAAGGCCCUUGGGUUGUAAAGCUCUUUCGUCGGGGAAGAAAAUGACUGUACCCGAAUAAGAAGGUCCGGCUAACUUCGUGCCAGCAGCCGCGGUAAUACGAAGGGACCUAGCGUAGUUCGGAAUUACUGGGCUUAAAGAGUUCGUAGGUGGUUGAAAAAGUUAGUGGUGAAAUCCCAGAGCUUAACUCUGGAACUGCCAUUAAAACUUUUCAGCUAGAGUAUGAUAGAGGAA